rnacentral:rRNA from 1 species
AGAGAGAGACAUGCGCGCAUAUCAAUAAGCGGAGGAAAAGAAACUAACAUAGGAUUCCCUCUAGUAACGGCGAGUGAAGCGGGAAGAGCUCAAAUUUGAAAUCUUCAAGGUUUUACCUUGACGAAUUGUAGUUUAAAGAAGUGUUUUCUGCUGAAGUUUUGGUAAAAGUUCUUUGGAAUAGGACAUCAUAGAGGGUGAGAAUCCCGUAUUUGACCAUUAGUUUUCAGCUUUGUGAUACACUUUCAAAGAGUCGGAUUGUUUGGGAAUGCAGUCCAAAAUGGGUGGUAAAUUUCAUCUAAAGCUAAAUAUUGGCGAGAGACCGAUAGCGAACAAGUACCGUGAGGGAAAGAUGAAAAGAACUUUGAAAAGAGAGUUAAACAGUACGUGAAAUUGUCAAAAGGGAAGCGUUUGACACCAGUGUUGUUUUCUCGAAAAUCAAUUAAAAAUGGCUCGAUUUUGUAUUGUUGAGACCUUAAAAGCUCACUGUACAUUUUUCGUGUCUUUUUUAAUGCACUUUUCGUUUAACAAGUCAACAUCAGUUUCUUUUGUUGUAAAAGGGUCAUUGGAAGGUGGCUUUCUUUUCGGAGAAAGUGUUUAUAGCCUUUGGCCUCUGCAAUCGGAGAGACUGAGGUCUGCAGCGUAGACUCUUCGGGGUUAGAUACAUUUGUGCUAAGUUAUAGCUUUUUAUAGACAACUUGUUGACUAUAAUUAGUCUUGUAGCUUACUCGCUUAUGCUAUUUUACCUACGCUUAGGAUGUUGAAGUCAUCGUAUCGCGC